rnacentral:misc_RNA from 1 species
CAGUGACUUUACCGUCUAACCACCGCGAACGCUACCGUGACGUUGCCUCGGCGGGCGCUGCGGCGCUGGGCCUCUCGGCCCGGCCCGCGGCGUCGAGCCCGCCGGCGGCCCUAUACUCUGCCUCUGAAGCGUUGCAUCUCUGAGUAUGACAAAAUGAGUCA